GACGAACGCUGGCGGCGUGCUUAACACAUGCAAGUCGAACGAUGAAGCCGGAGCUUGCUCUGGUGAAUUAGUGGCGAACGGGUGAGUAACACGUGAGUAACCUGCCCUUGACUCUGGGAUAACUGCGGGAAACUGUAGCUAAUGCCGGAUACGACCCUCGGAGGCAUCUCCUGGGGGUGGAAAGAAUUUCGGUCAAGGAUGGACUCGCGGCCUAUCAGCUAGUUGGUGAGGUAACGGCUCACCAAGGCGACGACGGGUAGCCGGCCUGAGAGGGUGGCCGGCCACACUGGGACUGAGACACGGCCCAGACUCCUACGGGAGGCAGCAGUGGGGAAUAUUGCACAAUGGGCGCAAGCCUGAUGCAGCAACGCCGCGUGAGGGAUGACGGCCUUCGGGUUGUAAACCUCUUUUAGCAGGGAAGAAGCGAAAGUGACGGUACCUGCAGAAAAAGCACCGGCUAACUACGCGCCAGCCGCCGCCGUAA
rnacentral:rRNA from 1 species